CGGCGGGAGCGCGCCCGGCCGGCGCGGGAGGAACCACUGCCUGUGGCGGGGGGAUGAGAUGCCUGCUGGAGUACGGAGUUAUUACACACAGAGUAGAUAAGGUGUUGGAAAAGACCUCUGAGGUCACCGAGUCCGACCUGUGACCGACAGUCACCUUGUCAUCCAGACCACGGAGCUAAGUUUGUCCUUAAGCAUCUCCAGGGAGGGCCUCUUCCUGGCGAUGGGUGGGGAGAGCAGCCGCAGAGCAGACAGCGCCAGCAGGAAGCUCUCGGAAGUGGCAAUGCAGAUGUUCAUGUUUAUCUGGCCAUGGGAGGACAUGAGAGCAGCGUGCUCAGAGCCAUCAGCAAGAGCCUGAUCUUUCCAGCAAGCUGUUGUCAUGGUCUACAUGAAUUUAUCCAGGUAAAGGGUUCCUUUGUUAGCCUUGGAGAUUGCAGCAGCAGUAAUCCUGUUUGGAGACACCCACGCACUUCUGCAGGAGCUCUGCCCUGGGAUGGAGGAGCUGGGUCAGGGACUGCAGCAGCCAGGAGAUGGAGCAGCUUGGCUCCUCAGCACAGAACAGGCUCGGGAGAGAAAGGCCAGGCCCUUGCAGGGCUCUUGUCCCUGAUGGAACAGAUGUGGCAGCUGCUUUGUGCCACAAGCACUGCGUGUUUGCCGAGCGGCCAAAGGAUCCCCGGGCUGUGCCUCGGGCUGCCACAUGGGGCCUUUCAUUUUCCUCAAGGGCUCUCGAGGAGCAGCUCAUUGUACCUGCUCGGAAUUAAUUCUGCCAGUCCCCAGCCUGCUCGUGGACUCCCCGUGCUGGAGUUCAAGACAUCCCUUUCAUUUUUUUCCUUCUGUCUGGGACAAUUGAUAUCCUGGAUUGGAGCUGCAUCGACAGCCAGGACCUGAUCCUAGUGAAGACCACACAGACCUGACUUGGAGCUCCAGGAACUGGAUUUUCCAAAUUUCCCUGCAGCAGCUGCUGGCUGGCAGCUUUGUCCCGUUCCCUGGUUGCACAGCCCUUGUUCAUCCAGGCCCUUUGUGCCCCAUCAGCUGGAAGUGCUGUUCUGUUUGGGGCUGCCUCAGAACUGCUGGCACAACAGAGCUGCUUUGGUUCUGGCUGAGCACUCGGCAUCUGAGCUCUUGUGUGGUUGGAGCCCAUUUUUUUGCAAGAAUGAAAACAGUGGAUUAAUGAGCUGCUUGUGGCUAAUGUGCAGGGUUUCUCAGAACUGGUGCUAUUAGAGCCCAGCGUCAUGUAGGAGGGAAAUGGCAGCACACGGUGAAUAAAGCAGUGAUAUAAUAGGUUUAAGUAGUCCAUUUCCCUUUGGAGUGUUUCUGAUAACAGGCCCAAAUGCAUACAAGACCAUUCCCUUAAUGAAUAAGACUGCUCUCUAGCAGAGCACGCACUGCAGCGCCUCACAAGGGGUUUAUUUUUCAUCAUUUUCAUCCAAAACAAAGCUUGGGUGUUGGAGUUGGAGUGGGGGGCAGGCAGGACUAUAAACAUGGUCUGCCUGCCCCACAGGAGACACGUCCUUAUCCCAGUGUGCUGGCCCUGGGUGGAGCCAGAGGAGGAUACUCAGGACAGGUCACAAGGUGUGUAAAGAUCAAGGCUUCUCCCACCGUGGUUUUGUAGCUUCCAGCAAUCUGUGGGGUCUGCUUGGACCUUGCAUCCAAACGAUUAAGUUUAAUCAUCACUGAUAGACCAAACCUGUGUAAUCUUGUCUAAAACCUUUUGAACCUAUUUAUAUUUUCAGGCUACAAGAUAUCCUGUGGCAAAUGAGCACCAGAAUUUAAUUAUGUGCUGUGUGAAAUAGCAAUUCUUUUUGUUUGUUUUAAACUGGCCUGGUAAUUUCACUGGGGCACUGACUCUUCGUGUUGUGAGAAACAGCAUCUAAAAUACCUCAGGGAAGUAGAAUCCCAAAUUUUAUUGGAAGGGCAUGUGAUUAUGACUUCUAUGUGUUAAAAGCACUUCUGAAAACGGAGCACAGGUUCUACUUUUAAUGCUUAUGGAAAUAUUGCCUCCAGUGCUUUUGUUUGCUCUUCAGCUUGUUUUUAUUUAUUUAAUUUUUUCCCCUUAACCUCUCUUUACAAGCUACCCUACUCCCUGACAGAUCCAGUUCUCAAGCCCCUUGUUUACUCUGUUUGCACGGGCUUUGUUUUGUACAAUAUUCUCCCCCUAAGUGCUGCGGCAGCCGGGAGUCCUUCGGAGCCGCGAGCACAAACCCCACCAAGGACAGGCACACGCCUCGGAGCGACCUCCUCCUCCUCAUUAUGUUGGUGAUGGUCUCGAUGUCAGCGGUUCAAGGGGCACGCGGGGUUCAAUUCAGCGCCGAGAUAAAGGCAGGAGAGACAUCCCCGCUCCCCCGAGGCGCAGCGACCGCGCCGCUCCUUGAUUGUGCCUUUGGCAGACACCUCAUUAAAAGUGGGCUGUUCCACACAAACAUGCCCUUGUCCUUUCGCAGCCGUAAUCGGAGCGUGGAGGGAGAGCUCAGCCCCACACCGGCGUGUCUGAGGCUGUGCAGACCUUGACUCUAACGAGCUGCUGUUCAUUUGUCGCCUUCUCUGCCCUUCCUGGAGCUGUACCUUCCUGGCGCAUCCUUAACUUACACUGUCUCACCGGCAGUUUGGAUCGUGCCUCCAGCUAAUAGAAUGAAAAUUAACGUUACCCAAACCAAACCCAGGACGCUUCUCUUGCAAAUCCUUUGGUCUUAGUCCAAGUGACAUUUCUCCUCAGUCGGAUACA